CACAUUUUGCACUUUCUAUUUUUUGCCCCUAUCUGUCAUGAAAUGCUAUAGAAAAAUAAUAAUAUAAUGUUUCCCUAUUGCUAUUGAGCUAGCUAAAUAGGCAAAUUGAUUACAACAACACAUUUUAUAAUUAUAAUUAUUAAUUAUAAAAUGGUUUAUUGAAGAUCUAUAAGUGCCAAAAAUAUUUAUUUAAACAAAUAAACAAAACUCAGAACUUUUACAACAUAAACUGAUCAAUAAAUUGCUAUCUAUAGCAAGGUUUGUAAAAAAAAUUAUGGCUGAAAAUAUUAAGUUUGUUUAUUUAACAUUCUUUUUUAUUUCCUUGUUUCUUGUUGUAACUGACGUUAGUGCAACGUAUAGAUUUUGCACGGAGGAUCAUGAAUGCUUUUAUGUUGUUUGUUUAACUCCUUAUGUUGCAAAAUGCUUUUUUAACCUUUUUUGUACAUGUUAUCCUCCUUCGUAAUAUGUUAGGUCAGUGGUAAGAAAUUGAUAUUGUGAUUUCAAGUGACAAAGUUAAUCACAUCUAAGAAAAUUGUAAAAUGAUCAUUAGAGUUAUUGAUAUACUACGUAUUAAUAAUAGAGUUUUUCAAUCA